rnacentral:rRNA from 1 species
UACGUAGGGUGCGAGCGUUGUCCGGAAUUAUUGGGCGUAAAGAGCUCGUAGGCGGUCUGUCGCGUCGGUCGUGAAAACUUGGGGCUUAACCCUGAGCUUGCGGUCGAUACGGGCAUGACUGGAGUUCGGCAGGGGAGACUGGAAUUCCCGGUGUAGCGGUGAAAUGCGCAGAUAUCGGGAGGAACACCGGUGGCGAAGGCGGUUCUCUGGGCCUUACCUGACGCUGAGGAGCGAAAGCGUGGGGAGCGAACAGG